GGGCGUUUAGCGCAGCGGUAGCGCAUCUCGCUUACAUCGAGCAGGUCGGGGGUUCAAAUCCCUCAACGCCCACCA
rnacentral:tRNA from 1 species